CAACACACAUAAACCUACCAAGAAACAUACCCAAACCAGAACCAAAGUGCUAAACAUGGAGCAACGACAUCAUGCCAAAAGGAACUGAUGAAUCCAAAUGUGUGACAUGACAUACUUCAGUCAAGAUUUAUGCACUAUCCUGAUAGCAAAACCAUUGUAGUGCUCAACCUGCAUCAGUAGCAACAACAACAUGUAAAAUCAGUUAGCAUUGCCUUGAACCUCAAGCAGACACAGGGCAAGGAUGCAUUAUAAUAUUUCAUCAUCAAAAAGCAUGAACUGAUGGAUAAGUCAACCUUGAUCAUGACUACCUCGCCUUUGAUUUUGAUUCAUCCAGCUGGUACAAAACCUCAUUUACAUCAAACAGGUCUUGCAUUUAAGCCCUGCUGCUCCAAGCCAAAUGAACAAGCAACUUGGUCUUAUUGAAAGCCCUGCAUAUUUUCAAACCAUAAGACCAAGGUAUAAUAGAACCAAUGCAUCUAUGAACCAAUUCACCUGUUACCAAAAUACAACAAACCAACUCCAUGGUUAUAGACCAAAAUGCUCAUGGGAACAUGGUAACCUGCAGUGAACAUACACAGACUCAACAUCACUGAGAGAUGAAUAUCCUAUUCCUAAGAAUGCAUUACUUUGUGGUAGGGCUACCGGAAGACAUACUCGUCCUCUUUGAUGGAACUACCA
rnacentral:lncRNA from 1 species